CGGGCUGAGUCGGGGCCGGUGGACGAGGCCUGGCCCGCAGAGGCCGCUGUGUCUCUGCACACAACGGCUGUCCAGGCCGGAGCAGCCAUAGUGUAGCCUGGAGCCCCCCCACCGCUCCCAGGGAGGGGAGGGGCCGCCUGAGAUCCCUCAGGAAAGACUGGAUUCCAGGAGGCCUGACCCUCCGAGGGGAACUCGUGUGCUGCCCGCCUGCUUCCUGCCGGGGACCGUCGGCCACUGAGCCUUCCAGGACCGGAGCUGCAGGGGUGACGCAGCCACCCACAGUCCCUCCACCUCAUCUUCCGCCGUCCCAUCGCCUGCCAGCUCGUCAUUCAGCGUGGAUUUCCUGAGCCACCCCCAGGCACCAGCACCAUGGCUCAGGCGAUGUGCAGACAACAAAGAAAGAAUCACGCACUCACUCCCUGUCAAGUCCUCCCGGGCGCCUGGACUCAGCCGUGGAAUACGGAGACUUGCACGGAGUAAAGCUCACAGUCCGGAGCCUGAAUCCGCCGGCGGCGCAACAGGGGCCAGUUCAGAGCAGGCUGGUCUCGUCUCCUCCGGCCACCGCCCUCCCUCCCGGUCACUUGCAGGCAAUCCCCUGACUCCGCGUCGUCUGCCCCGGAGCCUCAGUACACAGGGCAUGUGGGGCCUCGGUGACCCUGAGGUCCAGUGCGUGCCCAGGAGGAAGGGCAAGCACUCAACUCUGUCCCUUUCUGAUUUAUUUUAUUCCUUUUCAGAAUAAUGAGCCCUAGCCUCCGACCAAGGCCCAGUGAGAAUUCUGUAGUAUUCUUUUAAAUAAAAUGGAUUUUAAAGAUAUUUGGUAUAUUUUA
rnacentral:lncRNA from 1 species